GAUGUACGCUGGCGGCGUGCCUAAUACAUGCAAGUCGAGCGAACAGAUGAGGAGCUUGCUCCUCUGACGUUAGCGGCGGACGGGUGAGUAUCACGUGGAUAACCUACCUAUAAGACUGGGAUAACUUCGGGAAACCGGAGCUAAUACCGGAUAAUAUAUUGAACCGCAUGGUUCAAUAGUGAAAGACGGUUUUGCUGUCACUUAUAGAUGGAUCCGCGCCGCAUUAGCUAGUUGGUAAGGUAACGGCUUACCAAGGCGACGAUGCGUAGCCGACCUGAGAGGGUGAUCGGCCACACUGGAACUGAGACACGGUCCAGACUCCUACGGGAGGCAGCAGUAGGGAAUCUUCCGCAAGGGGCGAAAGCCUGACGGAGCAACGCCGCGUGAGUGAUGAAGGUCUUCGGAUCGUAAAACUCUGUUAUUAGGGAAGAACAAAUGUGUAAGUAACUAUGCACGUCUUGACGGUACCUAAUCAGAAAGCCACGGCUAACUACGUG
rnacentral:rRNA from 1 species